CCACAGGACCGCAGGGCGCAAGGCCUGGGCGAUCAGGGACACCGUGGAGGGAGGGCGCGCAGUGCGGUGUCCUAGAGGAUGAAGCCGCGCCGCUGCGCCGCCACAGAUGGUGCUCCCGGACUAUGGGAGGCGACCUCGCACCGGAGCUCACCUUGAUGUAGCCAGCCAGAAGAACAACGGGCGCCCAGAGCCUGAGUAGCAGCAAGACAAGAAGCUUGCCGGUGGCCGCCAUCCCUGGCCUGGUCGCCGUGGCCUGGGCUCUCCUACACUCAUGCACAGCCAGACCAGAGCGUCUCCCUAUCAUCAUCAAAAACCUUCUGAAGCCGGCUCACCGCCACUCUGGUGGGUUUUAACCGACUUCAACAGACUUCACAAAACCACGCCCUUCUUCAACAGGAUCCAAUACAAGCAGGCAUAAGUAGCCUAACUUGCCGCCCCUUGUUUAACCAAGGCCCAAUCAGAGCAUGGAUGCACCGUCUCCCCUCCCCGUCCAGCGCGUGCACCCGCAUGGCCCCGCCCCAAGACACGACAGCCCCGCCCCUGCUCUGGACUCCAGGCUGGGGAAUCAGGAGUAUUGUGGGCAGACCAUGGGCCGCUGUUCCUAAGGCCUGAGGCUCCUGCGUGGUUAUCUAUUGGGGUGGCUCUACAUCAUCCACCUUCAGCCUAGGGAUUCAGGCACGCCCCACUCCCCCGUCCCUGCGGGAUAUUUUCCGAUUCCUUUGGGUACAGCUCUCUUUGGAGCUUCUGGAAAAUGUUUUAAUUAAAAAACAGGAUGAAUUGUUGGGAGGUCCGGACAGUUAGGAGGGGCUUAGUGAAUCAGUUUCAAGGAUAUCCUGAAAUUGUUUUAAAUUGCUGAAGGAGCUUUCCCAAAGGAUACAACGUUUCAAUCUACCCUCCUGUUACCCUACAGGGGGGAAGGCUCCAUCUACACUGCUACAGCUUUUUCAGGGAAGCAUUAAUUUUUUGGGGGGUCAAAGGUCUCCAAUUGUAGCCUGCUGGGGAAAGAGCUCACACACCACCAGUUAGUAACCCCUUUUCUACCCUCUGUAAGGAAGUGCAAUAAACUCCCUGAGGCCCCACAGUGAACUCUAGCCUCAUACCUCAGUUUGUCACUGUGACUUUGGGAAUGGAGAAUAGACCUUGUUUACCACGACCCAAGGGAAGGAAUUUUAGCUACAUGUGUUUAGCUCAGUACACAGUCCUUAAGUAAGUGCCUGGUUCAGAAUGGUAGGAUCAUUGUUUAGAAGAUUAGAAAAAAGGGACCAGAGAUGGCAAUAGGACAAUAGUAGCUCACUAUUGAGCAGCGAUUUUUAAAUUUACAAAUUUCUUUUGUAUACAUUCUCUGGUUUCAUAUUCAUAUGGACCCUGUACAGCUCAGUUACUUCAUUCCUAGGAAAAUAACCUAGGCUGAGAAUAAAUAUUUUAAAUGCAUUUGAGGGAUUAGUUAUUUACUUACAUACUUUGAAGUUGAAGACACAGCCCAGAGAUCAGCAUGCCCUAUGCGAGUCCACCGCCUUCUUCAUAGUCCUUGGUUUCCCUGAGACACAAGUCCUGCUGUGGAACCAGGCUGUCCCUGAGUUUACUAUAAAACUCAAGCUGUCUGUUCCUCCUGCUUCUGCCUCUUAGUGCUAUGGUUAUAGGAGUAGUCACCAUAUCAAGAAAGAUAAGACAAAUUCUUUUAAAAUAUAAUGUAAAUUGUAAACAUAUAGUAAUUUUAAUUUUGCGUUUAAAGUAGACUAGAAGAAAAUAAGCCAACAUGUUAAUUUUUCUGGAUAAUAGGAUUAAAACAGUUGCUUUAGUCUUCUCAAUAUAUUAUAUUUUCUAUAAGAAGCAUGUAUUCCUCUUAUAAUGCAGGGAGUAAUGGAUCCCUCCUCUUUUGUCUUUCUGUGUCUUAUUAACAGUCCAUCGUUAAGUAGAUAUGGUACCUGCUAUACUCUCACUUAAAUGACUAAUGCUUCCAGCAAUGUAAUAGCUAUAACACUUUUAAAACUUUCUCAGGCUAGUCAUUAUAAUUUUUUUAGAAUGAAUUCCUUAAAAUCAUAGCUAGCCCUGCCUCAUAUAUACAUAUAUAUGUACUGUUUCAGUAUAAAGAGAAAAGUCUGCUCAAACUGACUUAAACAGGAC